GACGAACGCUGGCGGCGUGCCUAACACAUGCAAGUCGAACGAAAAGGCCCUGCUCUUGCGGCAUUCUCGAGUGCCGAACACGUGUGUAUAACGUGAGGAACCUGUCCCUUACUUUGGGAGAACAUCAUGGAACUCGGGCUCUUACCCCAUAUAAGCUCCUGCUGCAUAAGGUUGGAUGUAAAAAUUCGGCGUUUCGGGAUGGACUUGCGGCUUAUCAGCUUGUUGGUGGGGUAGUGGCUUACCAAGGCUUUGACGGGUAGCCGGCCUGGGAGGGUGACCGGCCCCAUUGGGACUGAGAUAGGGGCAAGAGGGCUACGGGGGGCAGCAGUGGGGAACAUUGCGCAAUAGGCGGAAGCCUGAUGCAGAGACGCCGGGUGCGGAAUGACGGCUUUCGGGGUGGAAACCGCUUUCGACUGUGACGAAGAGUGAGUGACGGUAAUGAGUAAGAAAGCACCGGCUAACUACGUG
rnacentral:rRNA from 1 species